GCAGGGGAGGGGCAGAGGGAGAGGGAGAGAGAAUCCCAAGCAGGCUCCACACUGUCAUUGCUAAGCCUGACACAGGGCUCAAUCCCACGAACCGUGAGAUCAUGACCUGAGCCCAAAUCAAGAGUCAGACACUCAACAAACUGGGCCACCCAGGAGCUCCGGAAAAGGCUUCUUCAUAGGAAUAAUAUCAAGCGUUUAUUCUAGGACGCCCUGUUCUCAGUAUUUAACAUAUGCUCCCGCGCCUCAUCCUCGAAAUAGCAACAGGGCAAGUACUAUUGUUACUUUCGUCUUACGGGUGAGGAAACGGAAGCCCUGAGAAGUUUAAUGUCGUAUAGGAUUGCUGCAGAGCUGGGACUUGCACCCGGGCCUCUGGGUUCUAACGUCAAUGAGCUUCACUGUGGCGUUGUACUGCAUGGAGAAGAUCCUGGAAAGGCUUGCAACAAUUUCCAAAGCGGGGAAGGAGUCCUCCUGUUAGAGCAGGUUGGAAACCACUGAGCCGGGCUGUGGAGGCAGCAUGUUAUACCCCCUUAGCAGAGACGGAGUCAUGAGACCUGAGACCCGCACAUCUUUAUUGGAGCGUCUAAUACAAACACCGAGAUGAGCCGGUCAAAACCAACCCCAUGGCGCACCACCGCUAAGUUUCCUCCAGCUUGAUCUGCAUUCCUUGGAUUGAAAGUGUAACUGACUUAGAGCAAAGUGCAGUACGCUUUAAUGUACAGCUUGGUGAAUUUUUACAUAUGUAUGUACCUGUGUAAUCUCCACCCAGAUCAGGAUACAGGACAUUUCCAGCACCCUGCAAGGUUCCCUCGUGCUCCCUCCUGGUCUAUUCUCCUCCCCAGAGCCCUAUAAAGAAUGUUGCAGAACAGCAUUUCCUGUAUGAUGCUCCACGGACCCAAGCCUCAAGAAGAUUCCUCAAGGGAUUUCAUAGUGAAAUAUGUUUAGGAAAUGCCAGUCUCCUCUUGAUGAUUCACAAUGUACAUUAGUAAAUUAAAGACUCUGAGAAAUUCUCCAGGAAAGAAGCCCAUUUCAGUUGGCAUAAGUCAGUACAUCCCAAACAGGUGGGGAAGGACUCUGCUCUCAAUAGCAAAAUGGCUCUGGGGUUCUGUGGGACCAGUUUGGGAAACACUGUGAUAGCCGACUCACGAAUAAAGAGCUGAGUGAAAAG